rnacentral:rRNA from 1 species
CCUACGGGCGGCAGCAGUGAGGAAUAUUGGUCAAUGGUCGGAAGGCUGAACCAGCCAAGCCGCGUGAGGGAGGAAGGCGCUGAGCGUUGCAGACCUCUUUUACCGGGGGACAAAAGGCGGCACUCGUCCGGUCCUGUGGGUACCCCGAGAAAAAGCACCGGCUAAUUCCGUGCCAGCAGCCGCGGUAAUACGGAGGGUGCGGGCGUUAUCCGGAUUUAUUGGGUUUAAAGGGUGCGUAGGCCGGACCUUAAGCCUGCGGUGAAAUGCCGGGGCUCAACCCCGGCAAGGCGGCGGGAAUUGGGUGGCUUGAGUGCGGGGGAGGUAUGCGGAAUGCGCGGUGUAGCGGUGAAAUGCAUAGAUAUCGCGCAGAACCCCGAUUGCGAAGGCAGCGUGCGGUGCCGCCACUGACGCUGAGGCACGAAGGCGCGGGGAUCGAACAGGAUUAGAUACCCUAGUAGUC